rnacentral:lncRNA from 1 species
CAUGAAAGCUUGUGGUAGCAGCAUUCUUGAGUUCAUUUUCCUGGUGUUUUAUAUUUAAAUAGAUAUCUAGCAUUUUCUAGUCCAAAACUAUAUUCUGCAAAUUUUUUUGGCAAACCAUGGGCAUAUGCCAACUAAGGGUGCGUUUGGUUACACUUUUUGAUUUUUAAAAAAUAUUUUUUAUUUUUUUGAUUUUUACUACUGAGUAAAAACAAAAAAAUAAAAAGUUUAUUUGAUAAAUACAUUACUAUAAAGCAAAAAGCAAUAUUUGGGGAUGGC